GCUUGAGUCCAAGAAUUGAAUUGAGUUCAAAUCUGAUCCGAGAAGUUAUCUCAAAAUUCAAGUUUAAGAUUUCACGAGAGGAAAUGGAAAUCCUUAAGUGAUUAUCUAAGGCAUGGGAGUUGCCGAGAAUGCGAAGUAAAGGAGACUUCACCCAGGAUGUCCGAGGUGUUUAGAUGGAUCUUACAUCCUCGGAAAAGUCAGAGAUGAUUGUGGUGGUCUAAAGAAAGUUCAAGGAUUCUUUUGGAAA
rnacentral:lncRNA from 1 species